ACAGCAGCAGGAGCCCUAUAACGUCAUGGAGAAACCAGGCCCAGUGACAUACAGGAUAAACCAGCCAGAUCAGCCGUCAACGGGAGCAAGUGUAUAACAUUAACCUUUUGAAAAAGUGGGAGGAGGAUGAUGUUACCGUGGCCUACUGUAUGUACAGAGCUUGCCGUGGAAAUGACACAUUUUUACAUCUCAGGGUGGGACCUUACUUUCCAACAACUCCAAGAGACUCCUCAGGAGGAGAGUUACGGACUGGGCCAGUGAGGCCACAGCACCGCAGGAGACUACAGAGACUUGUGGAGACUCUGACGUGAAAGCACGUAUCGUUCUUACUCUUCUCAACGAGCAGCGGGGGCUGCCGUGGGCUCCACCCCCGUCCCAAAGCACUCACAGGACUCACACUCACAGCAGUCCCACCCAGCUGCAGUCAGAGCAGAUGUUCACCCCUCCGUGUCCAGACUGCAAAUGAAUUUGCGCAUGCGGGAAGCUUCCGCUGGCUGAUCCCGCCCUGGCUUACAUUCAUGUAAAAUGUCAAAUGUGCUUUGUCUAAAAUAAAUCACUGCAUUUGACUCACACAGGCUCAGUCACUUACUCACCUUGUCCACUGUGUGUGUGCCUCUCUGUGACAUAAGCUAAACGUCUAGCUAUCUAAACUGUACACUCAAAAAUACAGAAAGGAGUGGGAAUCAAACCCUGAAUUCAAAGGCUGGUUGAAGCCGUUUAUUGGAGAUGAUACACGGGCAUACUGCCUGUAUUGUAAGGCUGAUUUCUACGCCAAACUUAGUGAUGUAAAAAAACACAACUCAAAAACAUACUCACAAGGCAAAGCCUUAUAACAGUUCCACCCAAAACAAGCUGCCAUUUAUGGUUGAAAAAGUUGACACUGCAAAAAAGGCUG